UUCGUAUCAUUUUUAUUAAUAUAAGCUGAUGAACUAUUUUAAGGAAAUGAAGAAGAAUGAAAUUAUUUAUUAGGUGGACUAAACUGAACUUGUCCUCUUUGGUCAAUUAUUUCAGUCCAGAUUACUUAAUUUUCUGCUUUAUAAAAUACUCCUAAAUUAGGUCACAUCAAUUUCAGAAAGCACAUCUUAGAAUAUACAUCUUCUAUGUGCAUGAAAAUCCAGAAUUUAAAAAAAAAUCUUGUCUUCCUAUGAGACUUCUUGGAUGACAUAUAGGUGUUAACAGUUUAAUACAUGCAUAUAAAGAGAUACCUGUUAACAUGUCAAAUAUGUUGAUAGGUUUCCAUGCUCACUGAGACUCACAUGGAUAAGGAAUGGAGCAGAGAGCAGCUAUACUCUACUGGCACUGUGCUGGGAAUAAUUUGAAAUCAAGCUUCUCUUCUGCAAAGCCCAAUUCUAGUAAAAAGGUGCAAGAGGGAAAUCAGUGCAGAGUGCAAGUUCAUCGGAACAGGUUGAUCUGGUUUGCUGGAGACUCUUAGAAGCCUCCUGGGAGAAAUGUGGAUAAAAGUUGUUGAAAUAGAUAGAUAACUCCAGGACUUAAGCUCUCAAACACAAAUGAGGAACAAAGACCAGCUUUACCUCCUGGGGAGUGCCUUCUCCAGAUAAAUGCAGAUAACUCAUCAAGGCCUCUGCCUUGAGUACUUAAUUGCUGGAGAGGGAACGUUUGGGCUGCAUAACAAAAAGCAUUACUUUUAUUUUCUCAGAUCAGCCUUAAGGAAGUGUCCCAAGUUUCAAAGGGAAAGCACCUGAGACAGAAAAAUGGUGAAAGCUGGAAUGGUAAGUGCUGUAAAGAAGAUAUGCCUCGCAGGACUCAUUUGUUAGAAGAAGAGGCAGUCUGCAAUGUAAAGUCAGCAAUCCCCACUUGUAAAUGUUAUUUGUUCCCUACACCACACUGAAGCAGGACUCAGUACCUCUUCUCACAACCCAGAAGGAAAUCUCUACAACCUGAUUAAUUGUAAUCUCUACAGUAUGAUUAAUUGUAAUCAUACUUCACAGUCUCAUUUGGAAUAUGGGGACAAGGGGAAGUUACAGCACAGAAUUACUAACAAAAUACUUAAAAGUUUUAACCAGA